CAGGUCUUGACAUCUCCUGCCAACCCUAGAGAUAGGGCGUUCCCCUUCGGGGGACAGGAUGACAGGUGGUGCAUGGUUGUCGUCAGCUCGUGUCGUGAGAUGUUGGGUUAAGUCCCGCAACGAGCGCAACCCUUGUCCUUAGUUGCCAGCAUUCAGUUGGGCACUCUAAGGAGACUGCCGGCUAAAAGUCGGAGGAAGGUGGGGAUGACGUCAAAUCAUCAUGCCCCUUAUGACCUGGGCUACACACGUGCUACAAUGGAUGGUACAAAGGGCUGCGAGACCGCGAGGUUAAGCCAAUCCCAUAAAACCAUUCUCAGUUCGGAUUGCAGGCUGCAACUCGCCUGCAUGAAGCCGGAAUCGCUAGUAAUCGCGGAUCAGCAUGCCGCGGUGAAUACGUUCCCGGGCCUUGUACACACCGCCCGUCACACCAUGGGAGUUGGCUUGACCUUAAGCCGGUGCGCUAACCGCAAGGAAGCAGCCGUCCACGGUCAGGUCAGCGACUGGGGUG
rnacentral:rRNA from 1 species